UUAUUACUCCCUCCGUCCCAAAAUUAUUGUCUUAUUUGUCUAACUACGGAUGCAUCAAGUCACAUUUUACUAUUAGAUACAUUCAUAUCUAGACAAAUCUAAGACAAUAAUUUUGGGAUGGAGGGAGUAUUUA
rfam:Triticum aestivum genome assembly, contig: Triticum_aestivum_CS42_TGACv1_scaffold_131274_2BL